AGAAACAUACACUUGCUGUGAGAGCCGGACCAGCCUCUGUGGGUGUGGGCAAGGCGUGAUGGGGUGCAGCAGAGGUUGGGGGAGAGGCAGCACCCACAGGGUCAUCAGGAGGUGUGAGGGGACAAGAAAAGGCGGGGAUCCAAUGGGAGUGGCCCAGAGUGUUGUCCAGAACACACAGACAAGGCUGAGAAGUGUGCCCCGUGGGUCAUGAGGUGGCUGCAGAGCUGUCACUCACCUGCAGAGCUGGGAAGAGAUGUGACGAGAGAGGAGAUGGACUGGCUCUCAGUGGACACAGACCUGGUGGUGGGGAGGGAGGAGCUUCCGUGUGCAGUGAUGGAGCUGGCUAGGAACACAGUAGUCUGCAGCCUGGUGGUACUCGGCUGUCUGGUGGUGAGGUUGGUGGCUGGAGAACUUGGGACGGCUGUCACCCCCAGUGUAGAAGACAGGAGGCCGUGGGUGGGGGUUUGGGUGGUGAGAGAGGUGGACUGGGCGGUGGUGGACUGAGAGGAUGGGACAGAGGAAGUGGGACUGCUGACCGUGGUCCGGGGUGUAGACAGGAUGACCGUACUAACAGUGGGGGCAGGGGACAGGGUGGGAGCUGAUGGAGGUGACAGGGAGGCCCUGAUGGGUGUGGAGGCGGCUGGGGAAGGGGGGCUGGUUGGCAGGGACGCUGUUUGUGACAUGGUCAGAGGUGCAGAGGGCGAGGGACUGUGUGGAGCUGAGCUGACGCUUGGGAUGCUGUGUGAAGUGGAGACUGCAGAAGGGGAAGGGGAAGACGAUAUCAAAGGAGAGGUGUUCGAGGACCCGUGAGGAGGAGGAGAGGAAACAGUGGGCAAGGAGGAGGGGAUUGGGACAGUGGAAGAAGAGGGGUAAUGGGGAAGAGUCGACACAGAAACAGAAGUGGUUAAAGGACUUUGGCUUGGGUUCAGAGAAGCUGGAGAAGACAAUGGAGAGCUGAAGCUAGAGCUUUGUAGUGGUGCUGUGCUGACUGAGCUCUGGGUUUGUGUGGUCCCUGUUGUGGUCUUUGUGAGUGGCAGGGUUGUGGGUGUGGUGCUCCCUAUUGUUGUUGUCAGCAGUGGGGAUAUGGAUGUGGGUGCCAUGGAUGUGACCGGGACGUGUGUCAAUGGCGUUGGGGUGCCAGUAGGCUUUGUGGUGGAGUAGGUAGCAUGGGACUCAGUUGGGGUGAUGACUUGGUGAGAGGUUGAAGUCACAGAUGUUGACACAUGGAUGGGAAGGGUCUCUGGAUGUGAUGGGGUGGAAUGGGUGGUGGUGGUCCGGAAGGAUGUUCCUGUUGGCAGAACUGUUGUGUGAGAGGUGGUGUGGACAGAAAAGGUGGCACUGGAGUGAGUGGUGAAUGGAGUGUGUGGCCCAGUGGGGGCAGCUGUUGUGUGUGUCACGGGUGUUCCAGUGCCUCUACUGGUAGAUGGAAGGGAGAUAGUACUGAGCAGUGGAGAAGUGCUUACAGGGAGGAUGGUUGAAGUAGAAUGUGAUAUUGGGGCUGUGGAGGUUGUUAUUGUGCUGACCAAGUUUUGGGCUUGAGUGGUCCCUGUUGUGGUCUUUGUCAGUGGUGGGACUGUAGGUGCAGUGGUCUUUGUCAGUGGUGUGGCUGUGGAUGUAGUGGUCUCUGUGGUGGUCUUUGUCAGUGGUGUGGCUAUAGGUGUGGUGGACCCUAUGGUGGUCUUUGUCAGUGGUGUGGCUGUGGUGGUUUCUGUUGUGGUCUUUGUCAGUGGUGUGGCUGUGGUGGUCUCUGCGGUGGUCUUUGUCAGUGGUGUGGCUGUGGUGGUCUCUGCGGUGGUCUUUGUCAGUGGUGUGGCUGUGGUGGUCUCUGUGGUGGUCUUUGUCAGUGGUGUGGCUGUGGGUGUGGUGGUCUCUAUCAGUGGUGUGGCUGUGGGUGUGGUGGUCUCUAUCAGUGGUGUGGCUGUGGGUGUGGUGGUCUCUGUCAGUGGUGUGGCUGUGGUGGUCUCUGUGGUGGUCUUUGUCAGUGGUGUGACUGUGGGUGUGGUGGUCUCUGUCAGUGGUGUGGCUCUGGGUGUGGUGGUUUCUGCUGUGGUGGUUGUCAGUGGUGUGCCUGUGGGUGUGAUGGUCUUUGUCAGUGGUGUGGCUGUAGUGGUGUCUGUGGUGGUCUUUGUCAGUGGUGGGGCUGUGGUGGGUUCUGUGGUAGUCUUUGUCAGUGGUGUGGCUGUGGUGGUCUCUGUGGUGGUCUUUGUCAGUGGUGUGACUGUGGGUGUGGUGGUCUCUGUCAGUGGUGUAGCUCUGGGUGUGGUGGUUUCUGCUGUGGUGGUUGUCAGUGGUGUGCCUGUGGGUGUGAUGGUCUUUGUCAGUGGUGUGGCUGUAGUGGUGUCUGUGGUGGUCUUUGUCAGUGGUGGGGCUGUGGUGGGUUCUGUGGUAGUCUUUGUCAGUGGUGUGGCUGUGGGUGUAGUGGUUUCUGUGGUGGUCUCUGUCAGUGGUGUGACUGUGGGUGUAGUGGUUUUUGUGCUGGUCUCUGUCAGUGGAGUGGCUGUGGAUGUGGUAGUUUUUCUGGUUGUCUUUGUCAGUGGUGUGCCUGUGGGUGUGGUGGUCUCUGUCAGUGGUGUGGCUGUGGAUGUGGUAGUUUUUCUGGUUGUCUUUGUCAGUGGUGUGGCUGUGGGUGUGGUGGUCUCUGUCAGUGGUGUGGCUGUGGGUGUGGUAGUCUCUGUCAGUGGAGUGGCUGUGGAUGUGGUAGUUUUUCUGGUUGUCUUUGUCAGUGGUGUGGCUGUGGGUGUGGUGGUCUCUGUCAGUGGUGUGGGUGUGGGUAUGGUGGUGGUUGUCAGUGGUGUGCCUGUUGGUGUGGUGGUUUCUAUGGUGGUCUUUGUCAGUGGUAUGGGUGUGGUGGUCUCUGUUGUGGUCAUUGUCAGUGGUGUGGCUGUGGGUGUGGUGGUCUCUGUCAUUGGUGUGGCUGUGCUGGUUUCUGUGGUGGUCUCUGUCAGUGCUGUGACUGUGGGUGUAGUGGUUUCUGUGGUGGUCUCUGUCAGUGAUGUGCCUGUGGGUGUAGUGGUUUCUAUGGUGGUCUCUGUCAGUGGUGUGACUGUGGGUGUGGUGGUUUCUGUGUUGGUCUUUGUCAGUGGUGUGGGUGUGGUGGUCUCUGUUGUGGUCAUUGUCAGUGGUGUGGCUGUGGGUGUGGUGGUCUCUGUUGUGGUCUCUGUCAGUGGUGUGGCUGUGGGUGUGGUGGUCUCUGUCAGUGGUGUGACUGUGGGUGUAGUGGUUUCUGUGGUGGUCUCUGUCAGUGGUGUGACUGUGGGUGUAGUGGUUUCUGUGGUGGUCUCUGUCAGUGGUGUGACUGUGGGUGUGGUGGUUUCUGUGGUGGUCUUUGUCAGUGGUGUGGGUGUGGUGGUCUCUGUUGUGGUCAUUGUCAGUGGUGUGGCUGUGGGUGUGGUGGUUUCUGUUGUGGUCUUUGUCAGUGGUGUGUCUGUGGGUGUGGUGGUCUCUGUCAGUGGUGUGGGUGUGGUGGUCUCUGUUGUGGUCUCUGUCAGUGGUGUGUCUGUGGGUGUGGUGGUCUUUGUCAGUGGUGUGGGUGUGGUGGUUUCUGUUGUGGUUGUCAGUGGUGUGGCUCUGGGUGUGGUGGUCUUUGUCAGUGGUGUGGUGGUCUCUGUUGUGGUCUUUGUCACUGGAGUGGCUGUGACUGUGGUGGUUUCUAUUGUGGUUGUCAGUGGUGUGGCUGGGGAUUUGGUGGUCUUUGUCAGUGGUGUGACUGUGGGUGUGGUGGUCUCUGUCAGUGGUGUGGGUGUGGUGGUUUCUGUUGUGGUCUUUGUCAGUGGUGUGACUGUGGUGGUUUUUGUGGUGGUCUUUGUCAGUGGUGUGGGUGUGGUGGUCUCUGUUGUGGUCUUUGUCAGUGGAGUGGCUGUGACUGUGGUGGUUUGUGUUGUAGUCUUUGUCAGUGGUAUGGCUGUGAAUGUGGUGGUCUCUGUCAGUGGUGUGGCUGUGCUGGUUUCUGUGGUGGUUUCUGUCAGUGGUGUGAUUGUGGGUGUAGUGGUUUUUGUGGUGGUCUUUGUCAGUGGUGUGUCUGUGGGUGUGGUGGUCUCUGUUGUCUUUGUCAGUGGUGUGACUGUGGGUGUGGUGGUGUCUGUCAGUGGUGUGACUGUGGGUGUAGUGGUUUUUGUGCUGGUCUCUGUCAGUGGAGUGGCUGUGGAUGUGGUAGUUUUUCUGGUUGUCUUUGUCAGUGGUGUGGCUGUGGGUGUGGUGGUCUCUGUCAGUGGUGUGGCUGUGGGUGUGGUAGUCUCUGUCAGUGGAGUGGCUGUGGAUGUGGUAGUUUCUCUGGUUGUCUUUGUCAGUGGUGUGGCUGUGGGUGUGGUGGUCUCUGUCAGUGGUGUGGGUGUGGGUAUGGUGGUGGUUGUCAGUGGUGUGCCUGUUGGUGUGGUGGUUUCUGUUGUGGUCUCUGUCAGUGGUGUGACUGUGGAUGUGGUGGUUUCUGUGGUGGUCUUUGUCAGUGGUAUGGGUGUGGUGGUCUCUGUUGUGGUCAUUGUCAGUGGUGUGGCUGUGGGUGUGGUGGUCUCUGUCAUUGGUGUGGCUGUGCUGGUUUCUGUGGUGGUCUCUGUCAGUGAUGUGACUGUGGGUGUAGUGGUUUCUGUGGUGGUCUCUGUCAGUGGUGUGACUGUGGGUGUAGUGGUUUCUGUGGUGGUCUCUGUCAGUGGUGUGCCUGUGGGUGUAGUGGUUUCUAUGGUGGUCUCUGUCAGUGAUGUGACUGUGGGUGUAGUGGUUUCUGUUGUGGUCUGUGUCAGUGUUGUGGCUGUGGGUGUGGUGGUUUCUGUUGUGGUCUUUGUCAGUGGUGUGACUGUGGUGGUUUUUGUGGUGGUCUUUGUCAGUGGUGUGGGUGUGGUGGUCUCUGUUGUGGUCUUUGUCAGUGGUGUGACUGUGGGUGUGGUGGUCUCUGUCAGUGGUGUGGCUGUGGGUGUGGUGGUCUUUGUCAGUGGUGUGGCUGUGGGUGUGGUGGUUUCUCUGGUUGUCUUGGUCCAUAGUGUGACUGUGGGUGUGGUUGUCUCUGUUGUAGUCUCUGUCAGUGAUGUCACUGUGGGUGUAGUGGUUUUUGUGGUGGUCUUUGUCAGUGGUGUGGCUGUGGGUAUGGUGGUCUUUGUCAGUGGUGUGGAUGUUGUGGUUUCUGUCAGUGGUGUUCCUGUGGGUGUGGUGGUUUCUGUGGUGGUCUUUGUCAGUGGUGUGCCUGUGGGUGUGGUGGUUUCUGUUGUGGUCUCUGUCAGUGGUGUGGCUGUGGGUGUAGUGGUUUUUGUGGUGGUCUUUGUCAGUGAUGUGACUGUGGAUGUGGUGGUUUCUGUCAGUGGUGUGCCUGUGGGUGUGGUGGUCUCUGUUAUAGUCUCUGUCAGUUGUGUGACUGUGGGUGUAGUGGUUUUUGUG
ensembl:lncRNA